UACGUAUGGUGCAAGCGUUAUCCGGAUUUACUGGGUGUAAAGGGAGCGCAGGCGGUUCUGCAAGUCUGAUGUGAAAGCCCGGGGCUCAACCGCGGGACUGCAUUGGAAACUGCGGGACUGGAGUGUCGGAGGGGUAAGCGGAAUUCCUGGUGUAGCGGUGAGAUGCGUAGAUAUCAGGAGGAACACCGGUGGCGAAGGCGGCUUACUGGACGAUGACUGACGCUGAGGCUCGAAAGCGUGGGGAGCAAACAGG
rnacentral:rRNA from 1 species